GAUGAACGCUGGCGGCGUGCCUAAUACAUGCAAGUCGAGCGAACAGACGAGGAGCUUGCUCCUCUGACGUUAGCGGCGGACGGGUGAGUAACACGUGGAUAACCUACCUAUAAGACUGGGAUAACUUCGGGAAACCGGAGCUAAUACCGGAUAAUAUAUUGAACCGCAUGGUUCAAUAGUGAAAGACGGUUUUGCUGUCACUUAUAGAUGGAUCCGCGCCGCAUUAGCUAGUUGGUAAGGUAACGGCUUACCAAGGCAACGAUGCGUAGCCGACCUGAGAGGGUGAGCGGCCACUGGAACUGAGACACGGUCCAGACUCCUACGGGAGGCAGCAGUAGGGAAUCUUCCGCAAUGGGCGAAAGCCUGACGGAGCAACGCCGCGUGAGUGAUGAAGGUCUUCGGAUCGUAAAACUCUGUUAUUAGGGAAGAACAAAUGUGUAAGUAACUAUGCACGUCUUGACGGUACCUAAUCAGAAAGCCACGGCUAACUACGUG
rnacentral:rRNA from 1 species